GAUAAAAUAAGCUAAGAUAAAGCUGUUGGGUUCAUACCCCGAAAAUAGAUAAUAUAUCUUUUUAUUA
rnacentral:tRNA from 1 species